rnacentral:rRNA from 1 species
AUGAACGCUAGCUACAGGCUUAACACAUGCAAGUCGAGGGGCAGCAUCAUCAAAGCUUGCUUUGAUGGAUGGCGACCGGCGCACGGGUGAGUAACGCGUAUCCAACCUGCCCAUCACUUGGGGAUAACCUUGCGAAAGUAAGACUAAUACCCAAUGACGUCUCUAGAAGACAUCUGAAAGAGAUUAAAGAUUUAUCGGUGAUGGAUGGGGAUGCGUCUGAUUAGCUUGUUGGCGGGGUAACGGCCCACCAAGGCGACGAUCAGUAGGGGUUCUGAGAGGAAGGUCCCCCACAUUGGAACUGAGACACGGUCCAAACUCCUACGGGAGGCAGCAGUGAGGAAUAUUGGUCAAUGGACGAGAGUCUGAACCAGCCAAGUAGCGUGCAGGAUGACGGCCCUAUGGGUUGUAAACUGCUUUUAUAAGGGAAUAAAGUGAGUCUCGUGAGGCUUUUUGCAUGUACCUUAUGAAUAAGGACCGGCUAAUUCCGUG